rnacentral:tRNA from 1 species
GCGGGUGUGGUCCAACGGCAAGACACCUGGCUUCCGACCAGGCGACGCGGGUUCGAUUCCCGCCACCCGUUCCA